GACGAACGCUGGCGGCGUGCUUAACACAUGCAAGUCGAACGAAGUGGCGAACGGGUGAGUAACGCGUGAGUAACUGCCCCCCUCUCUGGGAUAACAGUUGGAAACGGCUGCUAAUACCGGAUAGUGGGGGAUGCCUCGCGUCCUAUCAGCUUGUUGGUGGGGUAGUGGCCUACCAAGGCGACGGCGGGUAGCCGGCCUGGGAGGGCGACCGGCCACAUGGGGCUGGGAGAGGGACCAGACUCCAACGGGAGGCAGCGGUGGGGAAUAUGGCACAAUGGGGGAAAGCCUGAUGAGGCAACGCGGGUGCGGGAUGACGGCCUUCGGGUUGUAAACCGCUUUCAGCCAUGACGCGGUAGUGGCAGAAGAAGCACCGGCUAACUACGUGCCAGCAGCCGCGGUAAUAC
rnacentral:rRNA from 1 species